GAUGAACGCUAGCUACAGGCUUAACACAUGCAAGUCGAGGGGCAGCACUAGGUAGCAAUACUGAGGUGGCGACCGGCGCACGGGUGCGUAACGCGUAUCCAACCUUCCCGAUACUCUUGGAUAGCCUUCCGAAAGGGAGAUUAAUACAAGAUGGUGUUUCACUUUCGCAUGUUAUUGAAACUAAAGAUUUAUCGGUAUCGGAUGGGGAUGCGUGACAUUAGAUAGUAGGCGGGGUAACGGCCCACCUAGUCUACGAUGUCUAGGGGUUCUGAGAGGAAGGUCCCCCACACUGGAACUGAGACACGGUCCAGACUCCUACGGGAGGCAGCAGUGAGGGAAUAUUGGUCAAAUGGGCGCGAGCCUGAACCAGCCAAGUAGCGUGAAGGAUGACUGCCCUACGGGUUGUAAACUUCUUUGUUUGGGAAUAAACACCUUACGUGUAGGGUCUUGUAUGUACCGUAUGAAUAAGCAUCGGCUAAACUCCGUG
rnacentral:rRNA from 1 species